UUUAUUCCACAUUUAGUUAGUUACUUUCUACAUUUGCAAAGUGAAUGUUUAGCGGUAAAGCGCCAAAAGCACAUUCAGUUCAGUCAAUGGAAUUCCAGCAUAAUAAUAAAACAUCGUUUAUGAAAUACGAAGAGCAGGAAAAAAUAUCAAAUGCAGCUGCACUUUUCAAGGAUGUCUGUGGUUGUUUUGAUCUGCAACUGGAACACUGGAAUAGUGUUUACUAUAUUUACAGAGCAAUAUUCGAUUUUGAAUGGCGCAGCAAAACCAUCAUCGAAUCGUUCGUCUUCGGCUAGUCGCAAGCAUCAAAAACAGAAAUGGCUGUGCCAUUUAUAGAUCCAUCUCCGGCAUUAAUAAUAAACAUGGAUACAUAUUUAGAUCUACAUCCUACGCUUUAGCUGGUAUGUAUGUGGAGGUUAUUUCAUGUUUAUCACCGGUGAUAUGUAGGACUGGUUACUGCGGAACCCGAUUGUGUUGAUGUAAAAAUGCUUAAUCAAAUUUCAUACAUAAACUAGCAUUAUUUUAAAUAUUCACAGUAAACAACAAGUUCCAACGGUUAAAAAACAUAUUUGUUAGUCAAACACACAAUUAAUUUAUAGAGGGAUUUUAAGUGAUAAACUUUGUGGAUUUGUGAAUUUAACAAGAGUACAGUGUACAGAAUUGCGUAAAACAUAGUAUGUUUUAACGAUGCAGCCAGACUAACCAUUUUAUGGAAAAGGAUUAUUUUGUCUGUUGGGAAUCUGCGAGUUCUUCCUAAUACAUUAGAAACCUUAUGGUUCCAAUGCACUCUUUCGAAGAAAUGUGCUAAACUAUGUUUCCAAGCAAGAAAUAAAUGGAUUCUUUCGCUUAUCAUUUUAAGUUUUCCGCUAACUGAUAAUACUUAUAGAGCUCUAAAACCGAAACACUGCAGUUGAUCAGACAUACAAAAGAUCUGGGAUGGUUGAUGAAGAUCAGUGAUGUUUAAUAUUUUUGGAAGCGGAACAAUUUAACUAAGUUU